GAUGAACGCUGGCGGCGUGCUUAACACAUGCAAGUCGAACGGAAAGGCCCAAGCUUGCUUGGGUACUCGAGUGGCGAACGGGUGAGUAACACGUGGGUGAUCUGCCCUGCACUUCGGGAUAAGCCUGGGAAACUGGGUCUAAUACCGGAUAGGACGAUGGUUUGGAUGCCAUUGUGGAAAGUUUUUUCGGUGUGGGAUGAGCUCGCGGCCUAUCAGCUUGUUGGUGGGGUAAUGGCCUACCAAGGCGUCGACGGGUAGCCGGCCUGAGAGGGUGUACGGCCACAUUGGGACUGAGAUACGGCCCAGACUCCGACGGGAGGCAGCAAUGGGGAAUAUUGCACAAUGGGCGCAAGCCUGAUGCAGCGACGCCGCGUGGGGGAUGACGGCCUUCGGGUUGUAAACUCCUUUCGCUAGGGACGAAGCGUUUUUGUGACGGUACCUGGAGAAGAAGCACCGGCUAACUACGUG
rnacentral:rRNA from 1 species